ACAGGCAUCGUGUGGUGGAGCUGCUCGGUCUGUGAACCACCCAUCCCACCUCGCCUCUGCCGUGUGGCAGGGGCUGGUGGGAGGUAAGUGAAGCUGCUGGUGGCACUGGAGACCAAGGAGCAAGGCUGACCUGAUGAUCAUCUCGUUAGAUGGUACGCACUUGGGGGUGAUGAGCUUUUGGAGCAUCCCAAAGCCCUUCCCAGCCUGAUUUCCUUGGCCUCUGCUGCUGCUGUUAGAAGAGUCCUGCUCACUCAGCUCUCCCACCAUGCCCAUCAAACCUCAGAAAAGGAGGAUGGAUGGGAAGGAGGAUCACCCUGCUCACGUACAACAGAGGCUUAAAAGCGAGGAUAAAAACCAGGGAGGAGGUAUCCUGAGCCCCUGCGUGCGGCGGAGGGCCCGGCACAGGGGACAGGACAAGGUGACACGGCGGGUGCCACGUCAGCAGCUCCUGCCCUGGGCUGCCAACAAAGGUGGCCAUUGAGGGCGACCGUGCGCGACUGCUGGAGCGGGGAUGGAGCACCAGCCCGCUUUGGCACAGGCGGCUGAUGAGCCACGUGAGCAUCCCCUCCUUCUCCUCCUCCUCCUCCUCCUCUCCGGCAGAAGGUCUCCGGGGUGUCUGGGGAGCUGCGAGAACUGGCCCGUGUCAGAAAAGGGCUCCCCCCAGGUGAACGAGCAACACUCACCCAAGCACCCACAAAGCAAACAAAGCGUGCUUUUCCCCCCAGCCCAUUCACCUUUUUUUUUUUUUUUUUUUUUUGGUCAGCUGAGAACGCAGCAGCAGAAAAAGAGAAAACAGCUUUUUAUUUCCUCUCCCUUGCUGACUCCAGCCAGCUCCAGGAGGAAUGAAUAAAAUCGUUUUGUUUCAAGGCACUUUAUGCUCCCAGAGCAUAAAGUUAGUCAGCAUUUACAGGACCAGGUCACUGGAGAUAUUUUUAUUCUGUGUCUAUUUUGCUCUGCCUCAGAGUGACGUAUUGUGGAUGCUCCCAGUUAACAGUUCCUGAAUGUAAACAAUGCUUUGCUCCUAUUUACAAAUCAAAAGAGAUAUAUAUAUAUAUUUUUCAGUUAUGUUUGCAAAACUGUAAUCACGUUCUGAUUUCCUUUAUGCAGAAAUGAAACAUCUGAACUCCAGGGCAGGGAGGGUUUGGUGAGCACAGGGUGUCGGAGCCGGGCUGCACCACGUUAUAUAAACAAACUGGUGGUUUUGAAAGCAGACCUAGAGGAGUUUGAAAUGCAUUUAUUUAAGCAAGGAACCCAUCUGCUCCUACCAGUAAUGGAUUUGUGGAGCAAUUGUGUGUUUGCUCAGCUCACAGGCCACUGGGUUUUACAUAUGUUAUAUGAUUUGCACCAAUCAACACGUAACAUAGACACAUCUGGAACACAGGAGCCAGGAAGACAGAGAUUGAAUAGUGACCUUGUUAACACCUGGCAGCAUUGGAUCUUCAAGGUAAAACUAUAUCUUUUUGGGGUGUGUGUCAGUGUAGCACAGCUGGAUUGAGGAUCUGCCCCUGCUCACAGCACUGCCAAGGACACGGUGGUGCAUUUUAAUUCUGGCUAUGGAAUUGGGGAAAGAAGGUUUCAUCCAGCCCUUUGUAUGGGAAACAUACAAUGGAAGCAACUCCACAAGGCUCUGCCUAGAAAUACCUCUCUGAUCCCUUCAGGAUGUCCCUGGUCCCUGUUUCUGGUUACCUGUCCAUCUUUCGCAGCUUCCCCCUGUGGUGGCACCUGAGGCUCCAGAAACGCCCCAUCUUUCCAGAAACAGUUCUAGCAGCAGCACUUUUCCCACUUGCAGAACUCAGUCUUUGUCCCAGACUCUGACUUAAAGAGCUGUGCUCACCCAGCAAAACCCAGGGGCUGGUUUGGUGACACGCUCCCUUGAGCAGGCUGGUGAGAGAAGUGGAGGCCAGGAACUUCAAUUAUAUGACCUUGUAAUGCCCAGAGGCUCAAACCCAUGACAAAAAUCUUGCUGGUCAAGGCAAUCACUGAAAAAAAAGGAGAAAGGAAAAAAAAAAAAAGAAACCCAGCCAAACCUGUCCUCUGUCCAGGCUGCCAACUAAACAACCUGUGAGCUGCAAUAAUUCUGCAAAGAUGCUCUCAGGAGUGUUUUUUACUGUGAAAGUUGUCAUAAAUAAUAAUACAGAAAUGCAUCUGUGUGUACUUUACAAAGCAAGGAAAAAAUUUCUUCCUCUUCAAGCCCGUGGUCUGUGAAUAAUUUGUGAACAAGAGGAGCAGCUCCAUCUAUCUUACACGGUGUUUGUUACAAAUCAUUUGCUCAUGUGUAAAUCUUCCUGCCAGGGUAGGAGCAGCAAAUCCUCCUUCAAUUUUUAUCCGCUGAAAAACUUCCGUAGCUAAACAUGAAAAAUUGGAUCGAUAAGUAACAGGUGUAGAGGUGCAUUUUGGGAUGAAUGUGUUCCUGGAGCCUGUGGUGGAGGGGCUGUGGCAGCCUUUAUGGGGCAGCUGCUGGCAGGAUUUCUGUCUGGCACACAGUGCUGGGCAACAAGGACCUAAUAACUUCGCGGGGAGACAAAAGCCAAGAUAAAAAGACCAUCUCCAAACCCCUCUUCCCUCCCAGGACACCUACGGGGAGCAGGCAAACAGCCACAGCCCCAGGGAAACGCGUCAGAGCAUCCCAGCUUGGAGAAAACUCUUUUAGAGCUCUCGGGAGUCCCUAGGUGGCAACACUGCUCCUCUGGACCCUCCCGGGAGCCUUGUCCUGGCUGAGAGAUCGCUGAAAGCUCCUGCUUUGGAAGUCCUGUGGCUGAGACCUUAAACUUCCAUUCACAAAGAACAGCGAAAGAAAGAGUAUUUGUGCAAUGCUGGUGGUGGCAAAGGGAAGUGUAGACCUGUGGUUGCUGCAGGGCUCUGCCAUCUGAAGGCAAACCAAAAGGACAACCGAAACACCUGGGAAUUUGUUUAUUUAAAAGAAAUAACAUGAUUUUGAAGCCAGUUUUGUCGGGAGAUGUGACUCAUGAUCCCUAAAUGCUUGGGGUUGCCGCACUUGGGUAUUUCUGUAACCCAAAGAACAGCAAGUAACAACUGCAGAAAGGUGGGUAAAUAAUCCCAACCACAGAUGUGGGCUGGACAGCUGAGGACAAAAUGCCCACCCGCCCUGCUCCCGGUGUUUCAGGGGAAAAGCACCAUCAGAGACCCAGCAGAUGAGGAGAUUUUGGUGUAAGUCCUGCUGAUGAGGUGACCUUUGGAGCUGCCUGGCCCAGUAGAAAUUGGGGAUUGCAAAUAUUAUAAUCAAAUCUACAAUUUGAGUUUCAUCCUGGGUUAUGUACCUGAGUCGUACACAUCUGUUAGCGACAAUAAAUUACAGCAGAAACAGAGAAUUUGAUUGCAAUAUUACUGCAAUAUUCACUUUUUUUGGAUGAUCUGCAGGUCAAGUAUUAUCCACUGAAGUAAUUAAUGAAUAAUUUUGACUAACUGGACUAAAAUCUUUAGAAACUGUGCAAUCUGCAAACAGGUAGAGAGAAAGCCUCAAAUAAAUUAUACAUUGUAGCUUUUCCCUGCA